rnacentral:lncRNA from 1 species
GCUGACCUGUUAAAUCCAACCCAACCCCAGUGUCUAGUUCAAAUGUUAUGUCCCCAGAUCAAGCCACAGAAAAUGACAUGUCUUCCUCCGAAUCCUAGAAUUCGGUAGUGUGAUUUAGGGCACUUUCUGACGUUGUUAACUUAAUGCCCAGAUUAUAAACCAGAUUUUGACCCUAGAUGAUACAAUCUCUAAAUAUAAGGCUGUGUUUUCUUCAUAUUUGCUUUCCACAGUGCCUAAUUGUGUGCUUUCCAAAUAGCAGAUGAUGAAUAUUAUUAUUGAGCAAUUAUGGAACUUUAGCCUAAAUCGCUCCAACAGAUUUACUAAGUGUCCCUUGAAUUCUCCUAGCUGUAAGCAUUGGAAGUUCAGCCUAGAUUAGCCAGUACUGCAUUCUUUACAGAUCUGUUUCCCACAGUUUCUAUCUACUCGUAUCACUGGAGGAAGUUCAUAUUCAUUAAUCUUAUAGCUUUUCUUAUAAACUGCUCCGUAGAGAAACUCAGUAAAAAAACACUCACAUGGUCCCUUCAAAAGAAAAAAGUAACUAGAGGCUAGAUGGUAUCAAGCUAGUGAAAAAUGAUAUUGAACUAUGUUAAAUGACAUAUGAGUAAGUGUUAAACAAAAACACCCAUCUGGAUUUUUCUCAAGGUAAAUGUUUUUUUCUGCCCGUAUAAAUCACUAAAGCCAUUAUUCACUGUAUUCUUAUUCUGUCUCUUAUAGGUAUCCUUCUAGUUUCCACUGACAAGUGACAAGAAAUAUUAAUUGUGAGCAAAGGUUUAAUUAUAUAUUGGGAAAUAAGGUACCUGAGAGAUACAUCUCUAGUGACUGAGAGCAGAUUUCUAAAACUGACUGAACCUCAGCCACUCUGUGCAUCUGAAUUUUCUUUCUGCAUUAAUGAAAAUGGCCAAAUAGUUCAAACAGAUUUUUUUUUUAACUGUGUACUAUUAGCUUCAUACCCUGUUGGCAAAGCAGGAAGUAAAAAAAUAAAAUAAAAUAAAAAGCCAAGAUUUCUGCUAAUGAUGACCCUACAAAGGAAACAGGUUUAAUUCAUAUCCAUGGCAGCAUGAGGAGUAAGAGUGGGAUGGCUUUCCUGGUUGCUGGUUCCUCGAGCUUCUUUUUUUUGUACUAUGUCAACCUAUGGACUAUCUUGGGGUUUUACAUAUGUUGUCUCUUUUCCAACUAGAUAACCCAGUUACUGUACCUAUGUGAUCGUUAUAAAAUGCUGCGGAGUAUGCCAGUGGGUUAAGGUAACCAUGAUGCUAGAAAAAAAUAAGCAAAUACUAGAUUUAUCAGUGCUUAAAGUCCUUUGGCCAUUUCUGUCAACUUCGCUUCAGUCUCUGUCUUCUAGCCUCUUGGUGAAGUUACUCCUCCUGUACUUCUUUCUCAAAGGUAAAAAAAAAAAAAAAAAAAAAAAA